rnacentral:lncRNA from 1 species
GAUACAGCGAAGAAAGGCGAGAUUAUUGACGCCGCCAGAAAAAGCUUAUACAUAACCAAAGCAAGGCGAUUCAUCACAACGCCAAAUCAUUUGCAGCCGCCAAAAGGCAACAGGUAUAAAGUCAUUCAUAAAUGAUAUAUAAUUAUAUUUAAAGUGCUAAAGACAUUGCAGGUGCAAAGUUAAAAUUUUCAAAGGCGAGAUUAUUUUC